AGCCAGAAGCAUUGCUCCUCUACAUUUCAGGAUAAGAAUAUAUCUAUCUCACAGUGCUGCCCUGAGGAUUACAUGAAAUAAUAUAUCAAGUAUCUGGCAUACACCACUGCAAGAUUCUAGGCUUGGCCUAUUUUGAUUAUCAGAGGAGGAGACAAGGCCAUUGGAUAGAAUAUUGCUCAAGUAAGUUUUCUGUCCUGGUAAGGUUCUCUCUUCCACUUUACAUGUCACAGUAAUCUUUUUAAAACAUAGUUACUAUGUUAUGGGAUAUGUUAUCAUAUCCUGGAAUAAGUCCUUCCAAUAGCCUCUGUGUACUUAGAAUACCAUCCAAACCCCUUACAAAACUGCAUGUUCUGGUUCCUACCUGCCUCUCUAACUUCACCUUCCACCACUCUAUUCUCAUUACUUCCUACACUCUACUCCAGCCUUACCUGCUAACAGGCCAACCUUACACACCUAAUUAACUCAAGUCCACACUAGCCUAUGAAACCAUCUACACUAAAAACAAACACACAAACAAACAAACAAACAACCCACAAAACUCCUGGUGGAAAUAAUCUCCUUAGGUACUUAGCUUAGCAAAAAGAACAGCUUUUGUGGUUUAAACAAACAAACAAAAAUCCCACUAAUCUCUGGGAAGAUUCAGCCCCAUACCUGAUAGUAUGUUAUGUAAGAGAAGCAUAAGAUUUCAGGCCCUCUUUCUCCCCUUGGCUAGGUGCCUUUGUGCAGUGCACACACUACAUAACUUUCCAUGGCAGCAGCUUGGAAGCUCUUCCUCCAAAUUUCUCACACCUGGUUCCUUCUCAUCACUCAAAUUUCAUGUCAAAUAUCACCUCCUCUGAGUCUCCCCUGACCACAAAAACCUUUUACCAGCCCGACCAUCUCUAUGCACACUAUGCUUUAUUACCUCUGUAGCCUUACUACCAUCUGAAGUUAUCUUGCUUCCUGGUUGUUUAUAUGUUGUUAUCUGUCUUCCUCUCACUAGAAUAUGAGCUCCAAGUGUAAGGGGAUAUGGUUAGUCUAAGUCACUGUGUCUCCAGAACCCAUGGCAUGCUUGACAUGCUGAAAGCAUUUGAUAAAUACAUGCUGAAGUGAUGGUUGGAUGCAGGGACUAGAGUUUAAUGUGGAAGGAAAAUGAGAUCAAUGGACGGGCAAAUUCACAAGUUUAGAGAUAAUCUCUGUGAAUGCUUUUCAUUCUGGGUGUGUUUGAUCUGGGACAAUACAAGACUUCUAUAUAGUAAGGAAUGGUAAACAGCCAAUAAAACCUGUUAAGAAACUGUAAGCCAAAUUAUUUUUGUCUUCUUUAUUCUGGUUUUUAUAGUUACUGAGAGGCCACAACUCCAUGAGGAGAAGGAUCCUGAGAGCAACAGAGCUAUCAGUCAGAAGACGAGACUAAGCUGAAAGAUUUCAUGGCCAUCAACCGCCAUGAAAAUAAACCUUGGUUACAAUGGCCCCUGCUCAGGAUGAAUGCUGUUAACUAUUUCCUUGCACAAGAAAAGUGGAGAAAGUAGUGAUGAGCAGUUAGAGUUACUGCAGGAACCAAAAAGCAUUAACUUUCCUUUCCCAAGAAUUUAUAUUUCAGAAGGUCCUAAACUUCUGAACAGGUAAUUUAACCUGUUUUUUUACUUAAUAUCUAUAAAAUGGAUAAUUAUACUAUCUGGUGCACAUGGGUGCUUUGAGUAACAAACAUUAUGAUGUUUUAUAAAGGAAUGGGCAAAAUACCAGGCACAUAUUCAUACCUCACAUUUGUUCAUCAUUUGCUAUUGUAUCAUUUUACUAUCAUUCAUCCAAAAAGCUGUGUCCCUCAUUGUUGUCAUAUUAAAAAAAUAACUCUAGGGGUGACUGGGUGGCUUAGUCAGUUGAGCAUCCGACUUCAGCUCAGGUCACGAUCUUGCAUUUGUGGGUUUGAGCCCUGCGUCGGGCUCUGUGCUGACAGCUCACAGCCUGGAGCCUGCUUCGGAUUCUGUGUCUCCCUCUCUCUCUCCCCCUCCCCCGC